GUUCUCUCCAUUCUUUCCGUUCUCUCCAUUAUUACCAUUAUUCUCCAUUGUCUGUCAUCUAAAAUUCUGGCAUGUGUUUCUGGCUCACUGGAGGUUAUUCAUUUCUGUUAUUUCCAUUUUUUUUCUUAGCCAGUCACCUGAAGUACUGGACUGCGUUUCCUGCUCACUGGAGGUUUCUUCUGUUAUUGCCGUUAUUUCUCUUAUUUUCAUUGUUCGUCUUAGUCUGUCAUCUGAAUUGCUGUUGUGUGUUUCCGGCUCACUGUAGCUUAUUUCCUCUAUCUCAACUAUACCCGUUAUUUCCAUUAUCCUCCUUUUCUGUCAUCUGAAAUGCUGGAGUGUGUUUCCGGCUCACUGGAGGUUAUUUACGUUAUUUACGUUAUUUUUCCUAGCCAGUCACCUGAUAUACUGGACUGCAUUUCCUGCUAACUGGAGGUUAUAUAUUUCUGUUAUUUCUGAUAUUUCCGUUAUUAUUCUUAGCUGGUCACCGGAAGUACUGGUCUGCAUUUCCUGCUAGCUGGAAAUUAUUUCCGUUAUUUGUGUUAUUCUUCUUAGGCUGUCAUCUAAAAUUCUGGAGUGUGUUUCUAACUCACUGGAGGUUAUUUCCGUUAUUUCCAUUUUUUCCAUUUUUUCUUUUUUUUUUUUUUUCCAAUUUUUUCCGUUAUUCUUCUUUGUCUAUCAUCUGAAUUCCAGGAGUGUGUUUCCAGCUCACUAGAGGUUAUGUCCGUUAGGUCCGUUAUCUCCAUUAGGCUUCUUAGUCUGUCAGCUAAAAUUCUGGAGUGUGUUUCCAUCUCACUGGAGGUUUUUUCUGCUUUUUCCAUUAUGUCUGUUUUUCCAUUAUUCUUCUUGGCCUGUCAUCUAAAAUUCUGGAGUGUGUUUCCAGCUCAAUGGAGGUUAUUUCCAUUAUUUCCGUUAUUGUUCUUAGUCUGUCAUCUGAAUUGCUGGAGUGUGAUUCCAGCUGACAGGAUGUUAUUUCAGUUCUUUGUGUUGUUUCCGUUAUUACUGUUAUUGUUCUUAGCCGGUUAUCAGAAGUAUUGGACUGUGUUUGUUUGUUUGUUUAUUUUUCUUUUUUUUUUUUUUUUUUUGCUAACUGGAGGUUAUUUAUUUCCGUUAUUUCCGUUUUUUCCAUUAUUCCUCUCAUUCUUUCAUGUGGAAUGCUGGAGUAUGUUUCCGGGUCCCUGGCAGUUAUUCAUUUAUGUUAUUUCUGUUAUUUCCGUUAUUUUUCUUAGCCGGUCACUAAAGUACUGGAGUGUGUUUCCUCACUAAUGGAGGUUUUUUCCAUUUUUUCCAUUCUGUCCAUUCUUUCUGUUUCUGUUUUUGUUGUUGUUGUUGUUGUUGUUGUUAUUUCCAUUCUUGUUCUUAGUCUGUCAUCUGAAGUGCUGGAGUAUGUUUAUGGCUCCCUGGAGGUCAGUUGUUUCUCUUGUUUCUCUUGUUUCUGUUAUUUCUGCUACUUGUGUUAUUUCUGUUAUUUUCAUUAUUUCCAAUAUUUCUGUUCUUUUUCUUUGUCUGUCUCCUAAUGUGCUGCACUGUGUUUCCUGCUAAGUGGAGUCUGUUUCCAUUAUUUCCGGUUUUUCCGUUAUUUCUGUUAUUGUUUUUAGUCUGCCAUCUGAAGUGCUGGAGUGUGUUUACGGCUCCCUGGAGGGUAAUUCAUUUCUGUUAUUUCCGUUAUUUCUGUUAUUUUUCUUAGCCGGUCAGCUGAAGUACUGGACUGCGUUUCCUCCCUAUUAGAGGUUAUUUCUGUUAUUUCCGUUAUUUCCAUUCUUGUUCUUAGUCUGUCAUUGGAGGUGCUGGAGUGUGUUUCCGACUCACUGGAGAUUUGUUGUUUCUGUUGUCUCUGUUGUUUCUGUUGUUUCCGUCGUUUCCGUUAUUUCCACUAUUGUUCUUAGUCUGUCAUCUGAAGUGCUGAAGUGUGUUUCUGGCUCACUGGAAGUUAUUUAUUUUCAUUAUUUCCAUUAUUUAAGAUAUUUUUCUUAGCCCAUCACCUGAAGCACUGGACUGCGUUUCCUGCUCACUGGAGUUUAUUCAUUUCUGGUAUUUCCGUUAUUUCCAUUUUUUUUUGUCUGUAACCUGAUGUGCUCAACUGUGUUUCCUGUUCACUGGAGUCUAUUUUCAUUAUUUAUGUUUUUUCCAUUAUUUUUCUUAACCAGUCACCUGAAGUACUGGACUGCGUUUCCUGCUCACUGGAGGUUAUUUCCAUUAUUUCCGUUCUUGUUCUUUGUCUGUCAUCUGAAGUGCUGGAGUGUGUUUCUUGUUCCUUGGAGGUUAGUUAUUUCCGUUAUUUCCAUUAUUUCUCUUAUUUUUCUUACCGGUCAUCUGAAGUACUGGUCUGCGUUUUCUACUCACUAGAGGUUAUUUAUUUCUAUUAUUUCUGUUAUUUCUGUUAUUUCUCUUAUUUCUGUUAUUUCUGUUAUUUCCAUUUUUUCCGUUAUUUCCAUUUUUUUGUUAUUUUUCAUAGCUGGUCACCUGAUGUACUGGAAUGUGUUUCCUGCUCACUGGGGGCUAUUUCCGUUAUUUCUAUUAUUUCCUUUAUUUCCAUUAUUUAUGUUCUUUUUCUUUGUCUGUCAUCUGAAGUGUUGGAGUGUGUUUCCGGAUCCCUGGAGGUUAGUUAUUUCCGUUAUUUCCAUUCUUUUUCUUAGCCAGCCACCUGAUGUGCUAGAUUGCGUUUCCUGCUCACUGGAGGUUAUUUCCAUUAUUUCUGUUGUUUCCAUUGCUUUCCUUAGCCAGUCGCCUGAAGUACUGGACUGCAUUUCCUGCUCACUGGAGGUUAGUUAUUUCCAUUAUUUUUGUUAUUUAUUUCCCUUAUUUCCGUUUUUUCAGUUUUUUUUCUUAGGCGGUCACCUGAUGUGCUGGAUUGCAUUUUCUGCUCAUUGGAGGUUAUUUAUUUCUGUCAUUUCCGUCCUUUCCGUUAUCAUUCUUAGUCUGUCAUCUGAAAUGCUGGAGUGUGUUUCUGGCUCACUGGAGGUUAUUCAUUUCAGUUAUUUCUGUUAUUUCCGUUAUUUGUCUUAUUCUGUCAUCUGAAGUGCAGGAGUCUGUUUCCGGUUCACUGGAGGUUAAUCAUUUUCAUUAUUUCCGUUAUUGUUCUUAGUCUGCCAUCUGAAGUGCUGGAGUGUGUUUCCGGCUCAGUGGAGGUUACUCAUUUCCAUUAUUUGAGUUAGUUCCGUCUUUUUUCUUAGCCGGCCACCUGAUGUACUGGACUGCAUUUCCUACUCACUGGAGGAUAUUUAUUUCCGUUAGUUCCGUUCUUCUUUUUAGCCGGUCACCAGAUGUGCUGGAGUGCGUUUCCUGCUCAUUGAAGUCUACUUUUUUUUAUUUCUGUUAUUUCCGGUAUUCUUCUUAUUCUGUCAUCUGAAGUGCCAGAGAGCAUUUCUGGCUCACUGGAGGUUAUUUAUUUCUGUUAUUGCAGUUAUUUCUGUUAUUUCCAUUUUUGUUCUUAGUCUAUCAUCUGAAGUACUGGACUGCCUUUCCUGCUCAAUGGAGGUUAUUUAUUUCCUUUAUUUCCUUUCUUUUUCUUUGUGUGUCACCUGAAGUACCAGAGUGUGUUUCCUGCUCACUGGAAUCUGUUUUCAUUAUUUCCAUUGUUUCCUUUGUUUCCGUUCUUUCCAUUAUUUCCUUUAUUGUUUUUAGUCUGUCAUCUGAAGUGCUGCAGCGUAUUUCUGGCUCACUGCAGGUUAUUUAUUUACGUUAUCUCCAUUGUUUCCAUUUUUUUUCUCAGUCUGUCACUUGAUGUACUGGACUGCAAUUCUUGGUCACUGGAGGUUAGUUAUUUCCGUUAUCUCCAUUAUUUCCCUUAUUUCCAUUCUUUUUCUUAGUCUGUCACCUGAUGUGCUGGACUGUGUUUCCUGCUCACUGGUUUCUAUUUCUGUUAUUUCCAUUAUUGUUCUUAUUCUGUCAUCUGAAAUGCAGAAGUCUGUUUCCGGCUCACUGGAGGUUAUUCAUUUUCGUUAUUUCCGUUAUUUUUGUUAUUGUUCUUAGUCUGCCAUCUGAAGUGCUGGAGUGUGUUUCCAGCUCAGUAGAACUCAUUCGUUUCCAUUAUUUAAGUUAGUUUUGUUAUUUUUCUUAUACAGUCACCUGAAGUACUGGACUGCGUUUCCUGCUCACUGGAGACUGUAACCUGAUGUACUGGACUGUGUUUCCUGCUCACUGGAAGUUCUGUUCUGUUUUCGUUGUUUCCGUUGUUUUCGUUAUUUAUCUUAGUUUGUCAUGUAUAUUGCUGGAAUGUGUUCCCAGCUCACUGGACUUCAUUUAUUUCCGUUAUUUCUGUUAUUCUUCUUAGUCUGUCAUCUGGACGGCUGGAGUGUAUUUCCGGUUCACUGGAGGUUAUUUAUUUCCAUUUUUUCCAUUAUUUCCGUUAUUCUUCUCAGUCUGUCCUCUGAAGUGCUGGAGUGUGCUUACAGCUUGUUGCAGGUUAUUUAUUUCCGUUAUUCUUCUUAGUUUGUCAUCUGUAGUGCUGGAGUGUGUUUCCUGCUCACUGGAGGUUAUUUAUUUUCAUUAUUUCCAUUCUUUUUCUUAGCCUGUUGCCUGAUGUGCUGGACUGCAUUUCCUGCUCAUUGGUGUCUAUUUCUGUUAUUUCUGUUACUGCCGUUAUUUUUCUUGGCCAGUCACCUGAAGUACUGGACUGCGUUUCCUGCUCACUGGAGGUUAUUUAUUUCUGUCCUUUCCAUCCUUCCUGCCCUUUCUAUCCUUUCCAUUAUUGUUUAGUCUGUCACCUGAUGUGCUGGACUGUAUUUCCUGCUCACUGGUGUCUAUUUCCGUUAUUUCCAUUCUUUUUCUUAGCCAGCCACCUGAUGUGCUAGAUUGCGUUUCCUGCUCAUUGGAGGUUAUUUAUUUCUGUCAUUUCUGUCCUUUCCGUUAUUGUUCUUAGUCUAUCAUCUGAAAUGCUGGAGUGUGUUUCCAGCUCACUGGAGAUUAUUCAUUUCUGUUAUUUCCGUUAUUGUUCUUAUUCUGUCAUGUGAAGUGCUGGAGUGUGUUUCCGGCUCAGUGGAGGUUAUUCAUUUCCUUUAUUUAAGUUAUUUCCGUUAUUUUUCUUAGCCAGUCAUCUGAUGUACUGGACUGUGUUUUCUGUUCACUGGAGGUUAUUUCCGUUAUUUCUGUUGUUUCCGUUGUUUCCCUUAUUUCCUUUAUUUUUCUUAGCUGGUCGCCUGAAGUACUGGACUGCUUUUCCUACUCUCUGGAGCUGGUUUCAUCUUCUAAAUGCUACUACACAAACUGUUUUUCUCUGUCCUUGAGUCCCUUCCGUCAUGCUCCUAUACACCAAUAUUUUGGAAGGACAGAAUUGCUAACACACAUUGCAUUGAAAAAACCUCAGUGUUGCAGAGGCCUCACCUUCCCAUUGGUGCUGACAGCUACAGAAAUGGCUGGGUAUCUCAUCUGAAGGACAGCCUGUAUGGGAUAAACGGCAGCCUUGCUUCUACAACAACAUACAUCUCAAAAAUCAUCAGGAAGCUCAAGAGCAUGUAAUAGUUUCAUCCCUGCACCCAAGAAGAAAUGGAGGACCAGGUGCUUUGAUGGUGCAAACCAAUAGGAUUCUGUUUUCUACCUACAGAGCUAUUUCACUUCAAUAGCCCUCAGAUUGUGUAGACUAAUUAACCCAAGUAAAUCACCUGAAAUUCAUAGUGAAUUUAUUCUAUAUACAAUUUUGGAAAAAUGGUGACCUGACUGUAUAGCUCAAUUUGUUAAGAUGAUAACCAAUACCCACAUGUGCUACCUGCUGUUACUGGCAAGAUUCAAGCAGGGUAACAUACAAAACACACAUGAAGGAAGUGAAAUAAGGGAAUUCAUUUACUUUCCCUCAACAAUUAUAAAAAUGCCCCAAUGAUCCCACUGUGCUUACCAUAGCAUAGUGAGACCAUGAUUAGCACUUAAUUUCAUACUCUUCAUUAAUAUGGUAAUUAACUUUGGCAACAGCAAUCAGUAAUUGCACAGAUAGAUAACAAACUCGAUCAGUCUGCAAUGUGAAAUAAUCAGAAGGAAACAAUACCAAUAAAAAUUCUGCUUUC